GGAAAUUAAAAGUCCACACCUAGAGAUCCAUCUAAAACACAGAUGUCCCCUUCAGCUCUGUGGGAUAUGGGAAAAUGUAAUGGGUCCAGAAGCUGCUAUUGUUGUAAAAUUUCAGCCUCUGAAAAUGCACCAGGGAGGAGAUUUGUCAGGGCCCUGUCCCCAGUACGGACAUGAGAAGACUGAAGAGCUCGGGUCCCGACCUGAUCCCUGCCCAGGCACUAAGAACCCACAGGCCUGCACAGGAAGGGGAGGACAGAAGGAUGAGUCCUUCCUGAGCAGGGCACUGUUUCUUGGUGGGAGGACUGUGUCCUUAAUUCCCUUUUUCAUUCAUAUUGAAUGUGUUACUGAUCUUCUCUUCCAAUAAUACCAUUAUAAAUAAAGGGUAGGUAAUUUACUGAAUAAGAUUUGAUAUGAUGUGAUCUUUAUGUAAUGAAAAAUAGUCACAUUAUUAAAGUAUUUACCUAUCACAAUGUAGAAAUAAAGGAUCUUCUAGGUUCCAGCCACCAUUGCUUAUCACUUUGAAUGGCUGGGCUCUGUCUCUCUCAUAUGUCUCUCUGUUUCACCAUGUUUGUGUAAUGCCCUCACACCCAGAGUCAGUUUCAAAUAUGUGUGUGCAGGUGUACCAUGCCCUGAGUAUCCUUUAAAAACCAACGAGCCUCUCAUUCCAGACAUCCUGAAAACAUCUGUGUUUUCCAUGUAACAGCUUCCUUGACUUCUCUCCCUGUGGGCACAGGCAGACCCUCAGCAGCACCAGUGCUCCCUGGGGCACCAGGAACAGACUGUCCUUCCAUCUAUGUGGAUGUCAGUGAGGGCUGUACUACUUUACGAAUUCAACCAGUGCUGCGAGGAGGAGUCUUGCAAAGAAAUCUUGAAAAAUGAGUGAGUGCAGAGAUGGAAUUACUCUGUUGCAUUGGCCAUGAUAGAUAAAGGGACUUGAACUUGAGAACUUUGAAUGAGUGCUGACAUUCUCUGACAGGCAUCCUCACACACACACACACACACACACACACACUCACACACAGACUCGCUUACCUCCCAGAAAUCACAGACUGU
rnacentral:lncRNA from 1 species